GGGUGUAUAGCUCAGUUGGUAGAGCGCUGGUCUCCAAAAUCAGAUGUCGAAGGUUCAAGUCCUUCUACCCCUGCCA
rnacentral:tRNA from 1 species